AUACAACUGGCGAGUCCCAAAUAGGACGAAACGUGCGUCCUGGAU
rfam:Schistosoma rodhaini strain Burundi genome assembly, scaffold: SROB_scaffold0007273